GGGGAUAUAGUUCAGUGCUCCCCUGGUUCACUCUCCAGUACAGAAAGAGAGGGAGGGAGACAGAGAAGGAUGGAGAGAAACGAGACACAGAUUCCUAACGACAUCAUGCGUCUCUGGAUCCACUCAUGCCUGAAGAAGUCUCUGGAAAAUUCAUUUGUUGCCUUAGAAGCUUCAGCUGAUGUUCUGUCCUCUACAGCCAGAUAAAUCCCAAGUAAUAUACCAUCAGAGACAACGAGUUUUACAUUUAUUACAGCUUUAUGGUGAGAUAAUUGAUGUAUAGUAAACUACACGUAUUUAAGGUGACAGGCACAAACCAAUAAAACCACUCUGAGAAGACCCUGAGAUGUUUUCCUGUGUUCAUAGUAUACCAGACACAGGUCUACACACAGAUAUGCACUUGUUCUUUUAAACAACAAUAGGAUCAUACUGUAAACAUUGCUUUGCAAUUUGCUAUUUCUUAAAUAACUUUUUGCCAAGGAAUGGAUUAAAGAUACAUUUUCACCUCAGUGCUGGUCAAGAGUUACAGCAAGUUCCAGAGGUAACUUCAGAUGGCAACAGGGCUUACUGAACAGAAAUGCAAUUCAUAGGGAACUCCAAUGAUCAUCGUCAUGGAGAGAAGAAAACAAGAAAAGAGAAGAACCGCUAUCAUUCCUUCCUUAAUUUCCCCAAUCUGCCUUUAACCCUAUUAUUCUACUAGAUCCCUACUCAAGGGUGGCCCAGGGCCACCUUAACCAAAUACAAAUGGCCCCCAUUACAGUGGCUCAAUUUGAUGACACAACCAUUCUGUUUUUCACUCCCAGUUCAAUAGCCAAAGAGGCCCAAGAGCUAUUCAAAGCUUUAUUAUAAAAUGUGCUUCAUGUUAGAUGACUUUGCCCAACUGCAGAUGAAGGUGAGUGUUCUGAGCAUGCGUACGAGAGGUGAGGCUGCCUUCGGGAAUGGAAGAUUAGGUGCAUUAAAGGCAUUUUUGCUUUACAACGUUUUCAAGCUGUGACAGGCAGACUGGGAUGUGGGCCCAUCCAUCCUACGUCACGGAGCAUCUGUGUAACUGCUCUUGUGCUCUCCAUUCUUGUCAGGUGCUCAGGCCACAGGGCCGCUCAGCUCCCGCCCUUCCGCUGUGUGUUCCUCUUGGGCUCUGCAGUCUGAGCCCCUUCCUGCACAGCUUUCUGCUGCGCCUUCUCUGGCUGUCCUCCUGCUCUGCUGCCAUCUGUGGAUGGUCGGUGUCUCUCUAUUAUUUUUGCAGUGCCGGGGAUGGAACCAGGUCCUCGCACAUGUCAGACAAGCACUCUGUCGCUGAGUUGUACGCCCCUAGCCCCUGAAGCCUCUGCGUUUUCUUCUGGUUUUACUGUUGUUGUUGUUUGUUUGUUUGUUUUGGUACUGGGGAUCGAACUCGGGUCCUUGAGCUUGCAAGGCAGGUGGUGGAACCACUGAGCUAAAUCCCCGGCCCAAGCCUCUGAGUUUUACUGGAGUUUCUUGCUAGCUAACUUGGCCAAUCUGGAUGUGAGCAAUAAUAACAGGGUGAUAUUAUGAAACUACAAAAAACUUUUUUAAAAACAAAGUAGCAAUAGCUAUGGCUAUUUCCCUACUUCUCUGGCCUCCGGAGCAAGGAUGAAGCCCUGCCUCCCUGCAAGUGGGCAAAGCGCAGCAGCCGCUCCUGGAGGAAAGCAGGCUUGCAGAACACUGGCUGGGGGAGGGGACUCUUGGUUCCUUCUAGAAUAACAACACAUGUAUUCUGCGAACAAUUUAUGUAGCAUUUCCAGAUACAUUAUUCUCCUUUGAUCUUCACAGCAGCUCUUGAAGUGGUUAUUAUUACCCCAUUUAAGAUACAAGGAAAUUCAUCCCAUGCAUCGUCCCGGACCACGGAUGCGACUCCAUGGCAAUUUACAUAACCAUUCUGAAAUAUUAAAAUGACCGCUGAUAGAUUAUGGUAUGGAAUGAAACAUUCGAUGGCAUUUUUAGAAGAAAUAUGGACUUCAAAGAGAUCUAAGUUUGUGAGGGCUGUCUUGGGCUUUCACUCAAAGCCUCCAAGGAAGCACACCCUCUCUCCUGGCCAGGAGGGAGACGUCCCCCGCAAGGCCUGAAGACAAGCUCAUCUAGCCGGCCCCGCGAAGCCAGACACUGAUGUGCUCACAAGUCAUCCGGGGACUGCAGUGAAAUGCAGGUCCUGGGAGGUGGGCCUGGGGAGGGUCUGAGGGUCACCUCUGAUCAGCUCAGGGAGUGCCCAGGACGCCUGUGGGGGGCCAGGGUGGAGGCUGGCCAGCUUCCUCCCCUCUGUGCAGGACGCCAUCACCACCUUCAGUCGGCUCUGAGCUCCAGCUGGGAAGCGCCUGAGCUCUGGAGGCCGGCCUGGCUCCAGGUUACGACACCGCCACUGGUUUAUCUGUGAAAUAGGGUGAGGCAAGAGCUGAGAGGCCCGGGACAUUUCAUUGGGCAAUACAUGGAUGAGGCGUUUAGGUCAGCAGGGCUCCCCCUCAGGAGGGAUUGAUGUGGCUCUCCAGAGACCAGGCUAAGUCUUGCAGGAACAAAUGAGUCGGCAUUCUCAUGAGACUGGAAACUACCCCCGGCCCUCCAGCCUCCACUCAAGAUUCUCCAAGGCCGAGAUCAGUCCCAGAAUCUCCAUGAAGCAUUCCCUUGCCGUACACCCCCCACUCCCUCCAGUUCAUUCUGAAACCCUGCAAUUAGUAUUAAAUUGCCUACAAUA